rnacentral:lncRNA from 1 species
GUGGGGGAAGUUUUCCUGGAUGAUGUCCUGAAGAGUAUUUUCCACCUUGGAUUCAUUCUCUUUGUCCCCUUCUGGUACACCUAUCAAACGUAGAUUAGGUCUUUUCACAUAGUCCCACAUUUCUUGGAGACUUUGUUCAUUCCUUUUUGCACUUUUUUCUCUAAUCUUGGUUUCUCGUUUUAUUUCAUUGAGUUGGUCUUCGACUUCAGAUAUUCUUUCUUCUGCUUGGUCAAUUCGGCUAUUGAAACUUGUGCCUGCUUCGCAAAGUUCUCUUAUUGUGUUUUUCAGCUCCUUUAAUUCAUUCAUAUUCCUCUCUAAGUUAUCCAUUCUUGUUAUCAUUUCCUCAUAUAUUUUUUUAAGCUCCUUUAAUUCAUUCAUAUUCCUCUCUAAGUUAUCCAUUCUUGUUAUCAUUUCCUUGAAUCUUUUUUCAAAUCUUUUUUCAAGGUUCUUAGUUUCUUUGCAUUGAUUUAAUACAUAAUCUUUUAGCUCACAAGUUUCUCAUUAUCCAUCUUCUGAAGUCUAAUUCCGUCAUUUCGUCACAGUCAUUCUCCGUCCAGCUUUGUUCCCUUGCUGGUGAGGAGUUUUGGUCCUUUCUAGGAGGCGAGGUGUUCUGGUUUCGGGUGUUUUCCUCCUUUUUGCACUGGUUUCUUCCCAUCUUUGUGGAUUUGUCCGCUGGUUGUCUGCGUAGUUGCUGACUUUUCUAUUGGGUCUCUGAGUGGACACCCAGAAUGUUGAUGAUGAAGUAUUUCUGUUGCUUGGUUUUCCUUCUACCAGUCUAGCCCCUUCGCUGUAUGACUGCUGAGGUCCGCUCCAGACCCUGCUUGUCUGGGGUGCACCUCUAGCAGCUGUGGCACAGCGAGGGAUGCUACCAGUUUCUUUUUCUGCUAUCUUUGUCCCAGGAUGAUGCCUGCCUAAUGUCAGUCUUUUGGAUAUAGAGGGGUCAGGGAGCUGCUUGAGGAGACAGUUUGUACUUUAUAUGGGCUUAAUUGCUGAGCUGUUUGCUUUAUUGUUCAUUCAGGGCUGUUAGGCUGCUAUGUUUGAUUCUGCGUCAACAGAGCUCAUUAAAAAACC